GUGAGGAAUAUUGCGCAAUGGAGGCAACUCUGACGCAGCCAUGCCGCGUGCAGGAAGAAGGCGCUACGCGUUGUAAACUGCUUUUAACCGGGAAGAAACCCCAGGACGUGUCCUGGGUUGACGGUACCGGAGGAAUAAGCACCGGCUAACUUCGUGCCAGCAGCCGCGGUAAUACGAAGGGUGCAAGCGUUAUCCGGAUUCAUUGGGUUUAAAGGGUGCGUAGGCAGAGCGUUAAGUCAGUGGUGAAAUCCUGCAGCUUAACUGUAGACUUGCCAUUGAUACUGGCGCUCUUGAGUGCGCUUGAAGUGGGCGGAAUGUGCCGUGUAGCGGUGAAAUGCUUAGAUAUGGCACAGAACACCAAUUGCGAAGGCAGCUCACUAAGGCGAUACUGACGCUGAGGCACGAAAGCGUGGGGAUCGAACAGGAUUAGAUACCCCGGUAGUCC
rnacentral:rRNA from 1 species